CCAUAGGCUAGUGCAACUGCUGUAGUUUCAUUCAUUAGCUUCAGACAAUUUAAUCCUGCAAUCUGAGCAGCUGCCAUUACAGACCUUCUCUCCGCGUCAGUGAAAAAACUUGGUACUGAAAUAACACAGUCUGCCACUGGUUUCUUCAGAGCACUUUCUGAAGUCUCUUUAAGUUUGGCCAGUAACAUUCCUGUAAUUUGUUCCACUGCAAACAGUCUCUCUUCAUCCAGGUACCUCACCUUUACUCCUACAGAGCCAUUCGGCAUCUUCUGAAGUUCGUAGGGAAGUUUGGCCCUUUCAGCUUGUAUGUAAGAAUCCUCAAAUGCUCUUCCAUGCAGCUUUUUGAAGCCAUGCAAUGUAUUUUUUACAUUUGUAACAAUCUGGCUCUUUGCUGCAUUCCCAAUGGCCCGUGUCUUGGAUCCUAGAGAUAUACAUGCUGGGGUGCAGCGGUCGCUGUACUCGUUGGCGAUGGUCUCGAUGCCGCCGGCCCGCGCCACGCCGAUGUAGCAGUUCAGGAAGCCGAGGUCGAUGCCGACCACAGACAUGACUGCGCUGGGUGCUCCCCGCCGGCCUGCGACCGCUGCGCUGCUGGGACCGGCCGCCGCCGCCUCUUCCCCACUGCGGAGCACCAGCCACCAACCGGCGGCUGCUCGCCUCUGCGCAGGCGCGCUGUGCCGGCCGGCGGGCAGUCCGCCGGGCGCCGGCUCCGGCUUCGGCAGUUUCCGGAAGGGCUCGGGCCGCGCGGGCGGCGGGCGCCGCGCAUUCCAGAAAGAUCUGGAAACGGCGGGAGGCGGUGUCACCAGAGCGCCGCCCCGCGCCGCGCGUCAGUACUGCGGCGGGGCCCGGCCCGCCCCCUUAAGGGGGCCGCGCGCUCUCCCUCGCUCCCUCAGCGGCAUUCGUCCGUGCUUCCCUCAGGGGGCUUUGCCUUCUCGGAGAGAAGGGGCGCAAGACCUGCUUACCCUCGCUGCAGGAUCAGGAUUCCCUGUAAUUAAUUCCCUGAGUGCUGAGCUCUGUGUCCCAGUAAGAAUCCAUCCAUGUUAAGGAACUUUUCUCUUGAAGCAAAGAAAUUUGCAAGGUAAGACAGCAGUGCUCAAAAGUAUAAUUUGCGUUUUGAGCCAUAACUUAAAAUUGUUUCUUUCUUUUUCGUGUUCCAUUUGUACAAAACUAGACUCCUCAAAAUGUUUCAACUAUUCAUAAAUGUUUCCAGCUUU
rnacentral:lncRNA from 1 species